rnacentral:sRNA from 1 species
GUCGUGAGAUGUUGGGUUAAGUCCCGCAACGAGCGCAACCCCCGUCGCAUGUUGCCAGCAUUUAGUUGGGGACUCAUGCGAGACCGCCGGUGACAAACCGGAGGAAGGUGGGGAUGACGUCAAGUCAUCAUGCCCCUUAUGUCCAGGGCUACACACGUGCUACAUUGGCGCGUACAGAGGGCUGCGAUACCGCGAGGUGGAGCGAAUCCCUUAAAGCGCGUCUCGGUUCGGAUUGCAGGCUGAAACUCGCCUGCAUGAAGGCGGAGUUGCUAGUAAUCGCGGAUCAGCACUGCCGCGGUGAAUACGUUCCCGGGCCUUGUACACACCGCCCGUCACACCAUGGGAGUGAGUAACACCCGAAGCCGGUGGCCUAACCCUUUUGGGAGGGAGCCGUCGAAGGUGGGACUCGCGACUGGGGUGAAGUCGUAACAAGGUAGCCGUAGCGGAAGCUGCGGCUGGAUCACCUCCUUUCUAGGGAGCCCUUACCAGGGCACCGGGCGCCGGCAGGAUCGUCACCUGAGCUCUCCGGAGUUCCGUGGCGCUCUCCUCAAGCGCGCUCGGCCACUAGAGAUGUCGACCGGGCCUGGCAGGCUGCACGGCGGGGCUUUGCGCCUCGGCGAUGCGGCUCGCAUGCUGUUGAGUUUUGAGAGACCGGCGCUUCGCCGGUGGCUCGCAGAUCCUGCGCGCCGACGCGCGUGGCGUAUGCCUCUUCGCGGACCUUGAAAACUGCACAGUAGCCAAUGACACGGGUAUCACCGAGAGUUGCGCAAGCAGCUCUCAGAUCACCGUCAAGAUAGUAAGGGCACAUGGUGGAUGCCUUGGCACCAAGAGUCGAUGAAGGGCGUGAACGGCUGCGAUAAGCCGCGGUUAGGCGCUGAAUAGCCUGCGACCCGCGGAUGC